UACGAGGGGGGCAAAUGUUGUUCGGAAUCACUGGGCGUAAAGGGAGCGUAGGCGGGCUUCUAAGUUAGAUGUUUAAUCCCGGGGCCCAACCCCGGACAGGCACCUAAAACUGGAAGUCUUGAAUAGUGGAGAGGGACGGCGGAAUUGGGGGUGUAGCGGUGGAAUGCGUAGAGAUCCCCAAGAACACCAGUUGCGAAGGCGGCCGUCUGGACACAUAUUGACGCUGAGGCUCGAAAGCAUGGGGAGCAAACAGG
rnacentral:rRNA from 1 species